rnacentral:rRNA from 1 species
CAGGAUACUGUGGUAAUCUCACAGCUAAUACACGCCAUAAAACCCACCUUCCGUGGGGUGCGUUGUUACUUCAAACCAUCGGACUUCGGUCUGAUAUCAAGUGAUAUGAACCAUUUAGCUGAUCGCACGGUCUAAGCACCCGGUGACAUAUCCUUCAAAUGUCUGCCUUAUCAACUUUCGAUGGUAGAUUAUGCGCCUACCAUGGUUGUAACGGGUAACGGAGAAUCAGGGUUUGAUUCCGGAGAGGGAGCCUGAGAAAACGGCUACCACAUCCAAGGAAGGCAGCAGGCACGCAAAUUACCCACUCCCGGCACGGGGAGGUAGUGACGAAAAAUAACAAGCUGGUCUCAAUGAGUUCCGGCAUUGUAAUGGGAACAAUUUAAAUCAUUUAUCGAGGAUCUAUUGGAGGGCAAGUCUGGUGCCAGCAGCCGCGGUAAUUCCAGCUCCAAUAGCGUAUAUUAAAGUUGUUGCGGUUAAAAAGCUCGUAGUUGGAUCUAGGAUUAGGGCUACGGUCGUUCAGCUUGGACGUACUGUAUGCUCGACUCCUUUUGUCUAGUAUUCGAUUGUUGCUCUUAAAUGAGUGACUUUAGUUGCUGGAACUUUUACCUUGAAAAAAUUGAAGUGCUCAAAGCAGGUUAUUGCCUGAACAUUGCUGCAUGGGAUAAUUGAAUAGGAUUUUGGUCCUAUUUUGUUGGUUUCGGGACACGAAAUAAUGAUUAAUAGGGACAGACGGGGGCAUUCGUAUUGCUGCGUUAGAGGUGAAAUUCUUGGAUCGCAGCAAGACGAAACUACUGCGAAAGCAUUGCCAAGAAUGUUUUCAUUAAUCAAGAACGAAAGUUAGAG